rnacentral:rRNA from 1 species
UACGAAGGGGGCGAGCGUUGUUCGGAAUUACUGGGCGUAUAGGGAGUGUAGGCGGUUUAGUAAGAUAGUGGUGAAAUGCCAGAGCUUAACUUUGGAAUUGCCAUUAUAACUAUUAGGCUUGAAUGAUAGAGAGGAUAUCGGAAUACCCAGUGUAGAGGUGAAAUCCGUAGAUAUUGGGUAGAACACCGGUGGCGAAGGCGGGUAUCUGGCUAUUAAUUGACGCUGAGGCUCGAAAGCAUGGGGAUCAAAC